GAUGAACGCUGACAGAAUGCUUAACACAUCAGCAAUUGAUUGGUGGCGGACGGGUGAGUAACGCGUAAAGAACUUACCUCACAGUUAGGGACAACAUUUGGAAACGAAUGCUAAUACCUAAUACGUUUAGAGAGCUUUGCGUCCCAAUAGCUUGUUGGAGAGGUAACGGCUCACCAAGGCGAUGAUGGGUAGCCGGCCUGAGAGGGUGAUCGGGCACAAGGGGACGGAGACACGGCCCUUACUGCAACGGGAGGCAGCAGUGGGGAAUAUUGGACAAUGGACCAAAGUCUGAUCCAGAAAUUCUGUGUGCACGAUGAAGUUUUCGGAAUGUAAAGUGCUUUCAGUUGGGAAGCGGUACCAACAGAAGAAGUGACGGCUAAAUACGUGCCAGCAGCCGCGGUAAUAC
rnacentral:rRNA from 1 species